rnacentral:rRNA from 1 species
AUAUCAAUGAGCGGAGGAAAAGAAACCAACAGGGAUUGCCCUAGUAACGGCGAGUGAAGCGGCAACAGCUCAAAUUUGAAAUCUGGCUCCCUUCUUAGGGGGUCCGAGUUGUAAUUUGCAGAGGGUGCUUCGGCGUAGCAGCGGUGUAGGUUCCUUGGAACUGGGCGUCAUAGAGGGUGAGAACCCCGUCUGUCGCCGCCUUGCGAUCGCUUUGUGAAGCCCCUUCGAAGAGUCGAGUUGUUUGAGAAUGCAGCUCUAAAUGGGAGAUAAAUUUCUUCUAAAGCUAAAUACCUGCCAGAGACCGAUAGCGCACAAGUA